rnacentral:lncRNA from 1 species
UUGUUUCCAGAUGUAAAACUUUAAUCGGAUAUCUCUAUACUUAAAAGAGUACUAGUGGAUUAAGGAUACAAGAGUGCAUCCUAAGUUGCAAUGGUUGUAUCCACGGGAAGAACAAUUAUUGUGUCUACCAGAACCUCCAAUUGAUGCACCAUGUGAAGUCAUGUUGACAUUUUCUUUUCUCUUUGGUAAGGUUAUGGAAUAAAUUUUGUUUCCCCUAGUAUUGUGUUAGUGGUGUAUAUAUUCACUAAACAAGGUUCUUCCAUACCUCUGUUUCCAUAUGCCGCUGCACCAUCAUCCACUGCCAUGUUGAGGUGGUGGAGAUUAGCAGGCAGCAGUCUUUGUGGCGUUGAUGGGGAGGUGUCUUCGCGGUGCUGAUUGGGAGGUUGAGACCUCGUGGAAUCCAUGUUCUCAGGCGGAGGCUAAGUUGGCGAUUUGCCACUGCAGUUGUGAAUCAGCAUAAGAGAUGGCACACUUCCGGUGUAGGUGCCGAGGGCCUCGCUAGAUCCAGAUGGAUUGUUGGAGCCGCAAUCUCGCUCGCCACUCUGCAGGGGUUGUUAAGGUUGAUGGCGAGCCUCUACAGGGUGAUGUAGUGCCAUUUUUUCUUUGAAAAAACUCAGACUUUAUUCAUUUGUAAUAAGUAAUAAGUACAUCAUUUGUGAGGAGCAUUACAAUUUCAUUUAAAGGCUCCUCAAACCAAUCGGAAGUCAAAGAAAAUCUAGCUGGAAAUCAGGGUGAUGUAGUGGCAGAGGAAAGGCUGACGGGACGAAAUGACCCUCCUUGCUUGAUCAGGUUAUGUAUGGUGUACCUGGUGGUGAUGGAGUUGGGCACGGUCUGAAACCGAUCACAUGGAAGAAAUAUGGUUGUGGUGGGGUAGGUACUUCAUCGAUGACGUUUUGCAAGCACCAAGCAGCAUGGUGGCGUGAGCACUAGUGUUGCCGGCGAGCCAUGACAUGUUUAGUCCGACGAGCAGCCGAACGGGGAAGGACGAGGCAGCCAAAGCAUUCACCUCCUAGUGCUGGUGACGGCCGGGGUGCUUGGUACCGGAGCGCCCGGACCAGGGUGUUGCAUUGAGCAUGUGUCGUAUACGUUGACAACGAUGAUGAUCUGACGCAUAGGGGUGGUGCCGAUGGCCACACCCCGUACCUGCGCGGUGUCAGUGAGCACCCAUGUUGGUGUGGUAAUGGUGGAUGCCGUCUCUAUUUGGUAACGCCGAUCAUGAGCAAAAAGAGGGCAAAACGAAGCAGCAAAAGUUAAGGCAAGGGUGUGUGAGGCGAUCCACGCUAUUCUAAUGUUGCUAAUUUAUUCAUAGUUCGUAGCUCCCUCACAUGUUACCUCCGAGCGAAUACACUCGGGAGAAACAUGGAGCCAACAUUUACAUAAGGCAUUACAGCAACCGUUCCUAGCUAAGAUAUGUGCGACCUUAUUCGCUGACCCGCACCCAAGCAACCUUAAAAUCAUCAAAAGACCGAAGCAACCCUUUGAUCUCUUCAAGUAGUUGCCCAUUAGCUGAGAGAUCUUAAUUUCUCUUCUUAAAAUGAUGUGUUAAUGUACAUUAAUAUUUUCAUUUUUUUCACGACAAAAUGAUGGGGACCAUAAUCCGACUAGAUAAGCAUCCGACGAGUGAGGGUCCAGCAUGAGAGGAAAGAUAUCAUCAUGUACGGGUGGUUAAUUAUGUCAACUUUUCUUGAUUUGACAGAAUCAAUAUAUCUAUAUUUUUUUGAGACAAAUCAGUAUAAAGGAUGGUGUGUUUCUCUAACAUUUUGGUCCGUCCACACGGUAGCAGUAAAACUCGUUUCGUUUUAUAUACAGGAAAAAUACUUCAUAUGUUGUCACUCGGCUGGGCCUUCACCUGGGCCGUGUAAGCCGAUUGGCUGGGCCUCCACCUAACGAGCUCAUCACUCGGAUGCCAAAAGACAGAAUUCGUUUAUUAAUUAAUAAUCCUAUUUGAUUCUCAGAAAACUGAUCUAUCUUGCUUUUUUACACAAAUUUCCUGAUUUAUAUCCGCCUAUGAGUAACAAGAAUCAACAAGUUGACCAACCAACACACAAAUGAUAUGGUGUGGGGUGCGUUUACUUGAGAGAAUCGUAGAAAUUAAAUUCAUCUGUGGCUAGAUUAACAAAGAAAUUAAGUUCGUUGGGGACUAACACAUACUCCCUCUGUCUGAAAAAAUUUGUUUUUUAAAUGGAUGUAUCUAGCAUCAAAUUAGAGGUAGAUACAUUCAUUUAAGAAACAAGUUUGGGACAAACUUUUUCGGACAGAGAGAGUAUGUGCCAAUGAAACAUUUCAUGGGAAUCUAACCAGAGAGAAUGCAUGCAUAUAAAUAACUUCAAAGUGGGAAAAGCUAGAAGCAAGAAAAAGCGUGCAUGCCGCAUGCAUAACAAUCGAAGAGGUGCGUGUCCUCGAUGGAGGCAAGCUAGGAGUACAUACAUGAUCCGGUCAACUGCCGCUUCAAAGAGGUGCGACUCUUUAUUUUUGGAUAAAGCAAAGAGGUGCGACUCAAUAAAUCCUUCGGGGGUCCAAACAGGCUGCCAAAUUUAUCUUCAAAAUCAAUUCUUCCUUAGUCAACUAUUAAUCUUUUUUUAUUCUUUAUGAGAAAAACAAGUCUAGAUCUCGGUGUCUGACUACCUGCCGGCUGCCGAAUUUGUGUUUAAAAAUAAUUCUUUUGGAGUCUAAGUGUUGGAUUAUUAAUUCAAUUUUUGUUUUUUACGAGAAAAAAAAGUUCAGAUCUUGGAGUUCUGCCUACAUGUCGUCGUCGAGUGCCACUGUUAGAUAUUGUCAUAACACGCUGAUGAACGUUUUGAUGGAAACGCUAAUUUUCUUUCCCUUUGCAGCACAUAGGUAUGUGUGCUAGUACCGGUAUAAAAAGAUCCGAAGAGGCAGACCUAAAGUCUCGGCCAUCAAACUAUGGCAACAACGACCUACAUUAUUUCAAUGGCGAGUGCUUAACAUGUUUAAUGUGCAAUUAAUACCAUAUACCAAAUAUGAACAUCUAUGUUAAUCACAUAAUUAACACAUACUAGGGUUUAGACACGAUCAAUUUCCUCUUCAAUAUCAACAUAAGGCUGGUUGUAAUGAGGAGUAUUAUAUACUAGUAUCAUGCAUAUGAUACUAGUAUAUGAUACUACCUCCGUAAUGCAUAGUAUCAUAAGUUAGUAUCUUAGGUUGCCUUAUUAAUUGUCAUGCAUGACACAAAUUAGUGCAACAUUUAAUAUGAUACGGUAUCAUGAUAUGAUAGCACAUCCUCUCUUUCGUUAUUUAAUUCUGUGCCACAUCAUCCAAAAAGUCUAUAAGCAUGCAUGAUACCACUUAUGAUACUCCCAUUACGACCAGCUGGUAGAUUAUUAAACUAACUUGUGCUAGAUACAUCCAUUUGAAGGACAAGCUUUUUUGGAUGGAGGGAGUACUAGAUAACUCGAAAACAAAGGAGCUUAUUCUCACCUUAGCUAUGCGACAUAAAAACAUCACUGGCAUAUACUUUCAACGAUAAUAUUGCAAUUCCUUUUUUGUAGGUAGAAUAUAUAAGUUCUUCAUAUAGAUAUGAAAUAUGAAGUUUACUCCUACAUAAGAUAAUCAGUUUUGCUAGAACUCAUCUAGCUGAGUUUUAGUUAUGUCUCAUUCACUUUUAUAGAUUGGAUGUGAUGCUAUAAGAUGCGUGUGUGCUGAUGUGGGUUGGUACUCCUUUUCCAUCUGUUUUGUCUUCUAGGUGAAUGAGACCAAAUUAUAUCUCAUCUAAAUGAGUUCUAGGUACUCCCUAAGAUAAUACUGAUGCAGUACAUGCAAGCAUUGUCAGAGGAGCUAAAAUUGUGGAGGCAAAACCCACGUACAACUAUAGUUACCACUACGGUCAUCCUUCGGGUAGCAACAAUAGUAUCCCCGUGACACGAUCCUUUGUGAGUGGUGCAAGUUGCUUUCACAGCAAUACACAAAACAACUGUCGAGGUCCAACCUCACCAAGUUGCUUGGAUAGUCGUUGUUAGGGGAGUAGUAGAUACAGUUUGCUUCCACUAUGCCGCGCUUGUCCGCGGUCGACACGUGCACCGCCUUGCAGCAUCCUGCCCCCAGGAACAGGGCAUGAUCUCCCAGGUUCACCACCUUUACCCAUACGUAUGAGGGCGAUCCUGUUGUUUUGUUAGGGUUGACGGCGAGUUCGAACACCGUAUUUUUUUUUACCCUUGGAGUGGUUUGAGAUCUCCAAUGCUAUUGCAAGCUUGCCGCAUAGCUCGACGAUAUAGUUGGCAUCCCCGUAGCCGAUGGGUACCAUGGUUACCUGGUCGACUGAGGUGAUCAUCGGUGCGCCGGAUUUGUUCUGCCCGAUGAUGAACCUGUAUAACAUUUUAGUCCACGAAAGACCGUACAGCUCGCCGUUGCAGAAGGCGAUGUCUUUGAGUGUAGGGAAUCCGUGGACCACCCACCCGCACCCUCGUGUGACUAGUAAAAUGCCCGUGCGUUGUCACGGGCUUUUGAAAUAUUUUGCUGGAGCUAUGUAAACAUAAAGCAUGUUAAAUUUCACGUGUAGAGAAUAGAUACCAUGGGCCCAAUCGAGUAACAAUUUAAAUCCACUUCACUUGCAAUGUUAAUUGAUAGAAAAAAGGCAAUUUGACCUUGGAUGCAUAUAGAACGAUUAUCCAACUAAAAAGUUGUUACAAAUUAAGAUCUACUAUUUGAUGCACUUAAGAAAUCUCGCACAAUAUCAGAAAUUUUGUUUUUAUCUUCACUGGCAUGAUAUUCGAGCAAGUAUAAUAAAAACAUUUUCCUGAACUUGUACCCAUUAUGCACAAGCAAUAUAUGCAGUUAGCACAAAUACUUCACGUCAAAGGGAUUAAAAUGUCUAACAGAGAAUACCCAUCGUAGAAACCGGAUGAAGUAAUUCUUUACCAUUUCACCAGAGCAUAAAUAAAUAAUAGCUAGACAAAUCUCGGUAAUUUCCUAAAUUAAUAUUAUUUUGAAUAUAGUGAUAAUAGAAGUAAAAUGUAUUCGUAUGGUCACAAUGCAUGGAAAUUUGAAGGGAGUGCCUUUGCGAUUAACUAACAAGAAAUGUAUGUUUUAGUCGAGCUCGAUUGCCGCUGGUCUUCCUCCAAAUGUUUGUCUUUUUCUUCACCCGUCGAUCCAACCACCUCCGCUACGCCACAAUAGAGAGCAUCUACAUCCGAGCACCACAAACUGUCCCUAUACGCCCGGUCAGAAAAACCGACGCAGACCGAUGACUCAUAACAACCCUAUGGGCAUGGGUUGUCUUGCACCCGUCAUAUCUAACCAAAAUCUGGGGCGGAUAUAGGAAGGCCGCGUCCGCCACAUUAGCCUGGCCCAUGCUAGCCCGCGUCGACCACACUUUGUUCCCACUAAAAUCCCCACCCGGAGCAAACCCUAACUCCACUUCACUUUCAAUCCGCACUCCGUCGAUUCACCUCCACUCCACGUCCAUUCCCCUCCCCCUCUCUGUCCCAAUGUCGACACCGACGGCACCAAAGGUGACAGAUCCGGCAAAAAAGGAUGACUGGGAUGCCUUUGUUCGCGAGGCGGAGGGGGACAAGGAGGAGUGGCCCUCCACAUCGCGCUAUAGCGGUCGUGGGUUGACAUACAAGGCGCCAGCAGCCUCGCCUAUAAACAUACCAAGAGUAAUGUUUCCAAUCAUUAAAUACUUAGUAAAUCCUCAAAUACCAUCUUACAAUCCACCGGAACAUAGUAGCAUCACAUCCUUUCUAUUUCACAGUCCUCGUAUCAUUCUAGAUAUAGGUUUAUGUCAUUGUGUGAGAUUUUCCUAGAUGGAUCACACCAGUAAGCUUAGCUAUUUCCAAUAUCACCAAUCGAACAUAUAAAAAGUGUAUCAACUUACAUAGUAUAAAAAAAUUGGGUCUUCUCAAACUUGCUAUAUCGACCAAAAAUUACCAAUUUGCCCGCUGUUAAGGAAGUAGAAUAAGUGUCACUGGUCCCAGCAGUAUAUUGUUUAUUCUACGUUGUCAGUGCUAGCACGACCAACAUGAUAAAAGUGGCAAAACCCUCUGAGCUUGUCGUUACCACCGGUCCACCGCAACAGCCCAUGCUCUCAAUACUUAGUUCAUCGAGUUGUGUCAUUAACCAUUACUUAGUUCAUGAAAAUACCAACAAUAUUAUGACCUGGAUAUAGUAAAUUAGCAGGCUAACAUAAUACAAAGGUAACAUGAGAUUACCUCAGCAAUAUCUUAAUUAUGUUUUCAUCAAAGAUCUACAUGCUUAAAUUUCUGCAUUCUGAUUAAGAAAAACUAAAGGCUCUUUCUUGAAGUAUUGACACCUGAUCACUCGCCUCAAUUUUUUAUCUUCAAAUUUCCAACUUGGCAUUUGCUUAGUUGUUAUGAUAAUCCUGCUAGUACAACUAUGAAAAAUAGGAAUCACCAUGGUGUUUUCAUUUGAAAGAAAGAAACACCACCAGUCAUGAGGCCCUUAAGGAAUCAUGACAUGACCUGAAUCUGAUUUGCUACAAGAUAUUUGUCCUUCCUCAUAUUCAGAUCAAGUGGGCAAAACUCCAAACGAAACGAUGUACGCAUGAAAGAAACACUAUUUUUGGCAUUUGCUAAAUAAUCAUGGGAGUACAUAGAAAACAGAAGAUGAUUUGGGGCUUCAAGGUCCAGUAGUAUAUAUAUUGCCUUUUGCUUACGUGUUUGAUGUGAACCGCCGAUGAAGAAAAAUGCGACCAUUCCGAAGUACGAUUUGUCGGGUUUGUAAGGGAACUUCGCGUGCCUUACUCAUAAAUUGAAAACCCCAACGAUUGUAAUGGGAGAUGUCCUCCAAAAUAUUACAGGAAUGGACCUUUGAGAAGCUCAGUAGAAACAAAGGUGAAAAGAUGGAGAUGUAGUCACUUCAUUGUCAGACUCAUUAUUAACAAAAACAAAGGUUGGUAAAAAAGAGUGUCUAUCUAUAGUCUCCAAGUCUUUGAUUUACCUGAACAAAGGCUACAGAAAGAAUAUACCAGCACAACACCUAUCUGCAGCAGCUUUCCGCGGAGUUUCUGAAAAUGCAUAGCAGAAGGACAAGCAGAUUGUCAGAUACCAAGCAACUUGUCAUAAUAAUUUGCAUGGGAGUUCAAAAAAUUGUGUGGGAUCUCCAUUGCCUGGGUAACUAAACCAGGAGGUUAAUAUUCCAAACUUCUCUACCAAGCUAUAUCAUUUUGGUAGCUUAUUUUUGCUUUCUAAUUACAUGAUUGACCAGCUAAGAAAUGAUUUAGAGUUAGCUUGUACUAUUUCCUCCAGAAUUGCUCUGUGCAAAUUGAAUCAAUAAUCAAUCAGAAGAAAAAUAUCAGCAAAAUGUGAUUAUUUAGAUGAAACAAGAGGCGGUGGUUGCCAACCUACUCCCAUAAGUUGAGCACCACCAUGCCGGCGUGUACGAUGAGCACGACAGUGCCGACGUUUUGGAGAAAAAGGGUUCUCCAGCCACAUGGACCCACCAACACCAAUUUAUUACAUCAAAGAGGCUAACCAAGUCAACGACCCUGUUGUGUUCUUGGCUCUUGAACUUUUCUCUCUAGCAUUUUGGCGCUUAUAACGUGUUCUUGCUUAUAGUAACUAACCAACUGAAUCAAAAUUCAUUAGUAGUUACCAUUCCCACUGUCUGUAACAAUCAUAGCACAUUUAGCAAUCAAUCGCUAGCAACAAGCAUAACACUGUCUACAACAAGCCUAACAUGCCCACUUUUAAAGGACACAACACUACAGAGCUCACAACAAACAAUUCAUAUUGGGUAGAACUUCACAGUUUAGGUGGCGUCCGACCAACAAACUGCACAUCAACAAAAAUUGGAGCUCACCUUGGUGAUCGGCAGUCAGGGCAUCCACCUUCGCUCGUGGUGCUCGAGAUCGGCGGCCGACGAGUAGGAUAUUAAACACGGCGACCGGGAGGAAGGGUCACGGCUGAGGUUGACGAAGCAGUUUACGGAAGCGGCGUCCGGAGGUUGAAGAUGCAGUCGACGAUGAUGUCUGUGGAUGCAUCAGCUCACAGCCUCAGACUUGACCUCGACGUGCAGCGAUGAGGACCGGCGGGCACCGGUCGCCUUAAGCUUUCCCCCGCCUACUGCACUGGGGACACCUCACUCUCUCGCCAACGCUGGCGCUACCAGCUCAUGUUGCAAGCUCCGCAAUCGACCAACAAUCGUCGCGACAGUCUCCGGUCACCGCCAAUGUCCGGCGGCGUGGGCCCGACGGCGGGGGGCAUCGCGCUGCCAUCGAUGGGGCAGCCGCCCCCGCCGCAACACCUGGAGCCCACCUCGCCCAUGGCGCGCCCGCACCACUACUACUACCUCUUCUCGGGGCAUCUAGGAAAAUAAAUGCAUCCGACAGACUAACAACUUUCAGGAAAUUAGACACAUGACUGGACUGAAUACAUCAAAUCCUUAUCAUUUUAGCUAACCACUUAAUUACCUCCAUUAUCAGUAAUUCAACUACUCACCUUAGAGCUAGUACUGAACUUCAGUGUUUAUUAUGUGCAAUCACAAUCGUAUCAACCAAAGAACCAUUACCACACUACUGUUGACAGCAUGCUUGAUUCGACCACUUGAUGCAUGAGUAAAAGUACUUAGAUGGCUGUGUUUCAAAAAUUUCUCGGUAAACCAAAGGGAUCAGCGAAUGUAACCAAUCAUGGUAGGAAACACAAAUACAAGUAGAGUUCGACACAUCUACUGGUAAAAACUGCAGAUGGAUGCAUUAGAUCCUCUCAUGAUUUUCAGUCUCUGGCAUUUAGUGCUAAACAAACUGCAUUAAAAUUUUAAGGUCAGAAAUUGUUGGAACUUUUAAAACUUGACUUGUUCAGUUCACAGCCUAUCUGUGUAUGAAAGGUGUAACAGUAAUAUAACACGAAGGCCACAUGCAUGAUUUUUCACUGAAAGAAGGAAAAGGUCGACACAUAUAAAUAUAUAUCUCCAAACUUCCUUAUCAAAGAUGAAAAUAAGUAGUUCAUGCAUCCUAAUGCAAUUUAAUUUUUGUUAUUAGCAGCAUAGUAGUGUUUGUUUGACAAUGAAUAUCCUUGCCUCAAUUUGCAACUUGCAAGUGGAUGCAUAUGCAGGAUUGCUAAUUUAGCAAAGCUUGGGCCUCAUACCCGAGGAUUCAGAGAGAAAAGCAACAAGAUAUUGAGCAUCGUAGAACUGGCUCAGUUAUGAGACCAGCCUGGCAAAUUCGUUGAUAGGAAAUUGACAAGCUUCUUCUACCAGUAAUCUAAGGCUGGCUCAGCCUUAGAAUGUACAUGUCUAGUACUCUUCUACUGCAAGGUAUAUUACAUGUCUAGUCAGAGAUAAAACUUGACAAGCUUCUUAUUCUUCUCGUACAAGUUAUAUUACAUGUGUAGUACAGAGAUAAAAUUAUAAAUUCUUUCCAUGAACCAAGACUUCGAAGCAAGCAUGAAUAAAGUAUAGCCAGCACAGAUCAUGUAAUGUUAAUUGUGUCAAGAACUAAAUUUUCCUUGGUUGUGAGCGAGAUUGUCAGCAAAUUAGUUUGAAUUGUACCUGCCACAGUGAACCGCUCCUUAGGAUCGGGGUCAUAGGCCUCAAUCUGUUUGGUAGUCUUAUUGGUGAAGUAGCCCACAGAGAGAUCGUUUUGGGCGAAAUGGAAGGUGUACAGUGUCUUGGAGAAGUACUCGGAUUUGGGUAGGAUCUCAUGAUAAAUUCCACCUGUAGAGCAAAAUAUAAAAAAUUACUGUCGCGUUCUCUGAAAUCUGAAUGAAAAUAUGGAAUAUGACACGCCUUUACUCCUCACCCAUUCUGUUAUACACGAACUGGCUUCUCUUGGUGAAUUGUUCCAACUCCCAGGUCUGCACAUCCAAGUAGAUCGGGCUGUAAAUGAAUGUCCAAAAAAGUAUGAGGCUGUAAUUGGAGAUGAAUAUACCCCAAUUAGAUAGCUGUGACUGAGAGUCUGAGAUAGAUGAUGCACUGACAUAUGUACCGGCCGGCCGGCACCUCCGCGGAGAUUUAAUGAAAGACAUUAGACAUGAUUGCACGGUAUCAGGGAGGGACGAAGCUACAUUACUCUCUCGCCGUGAUUCAAUACUGUCAUACAUGUAGCUCUCUUCUGCUUUGACAUUGACCAAAACUACUGCACCUAAUUACACUGGUCAUACAUGUACGUUCACAUAAAGAAGAGAACGAAGCAUCUCACAAAUUUGACUACAAGAGGAAAAAUACGCCACCGCCAAUCCAACUCGACAUGGCACGAAUUCAUCAUCAGAGCACGUAAAUUUCAUUAGCUGGUACCAUGAACCAAAAUGAUUAAAGAAACCCUGCAUAAGCAUCUCUGAAACAUCCAACAGGAGACAUGUGCACGCAUUAUGUAUUUCAGUACCAAUAUAAUGCAGCACAAAUCUAACUAUGUGAGGAAAUAGACAGGGCUCAAGUGAAAAUCAUCUUACCUGAGCCAAUCUCUCCUGCCUCCUCGCAAUAUUCCUCUCCCUGCUAGCUAGCCUUGCUCUUGGCACGCUUGGCCUCAAACUGGUCAGAGAGGGUCUUCUCUCUUGCCUUCUCAGCCUUGGACUUGUGGAUACUCUCCAUGAGGACCCUCUUGUUCUUGAACAUGUUACCUUGACCUUCAGGUACAUGUCAUGAAACAUGCAAGCAUCUCAACACGCUGCGCGCCAAGGCCGUGCUGGCCUUCUCGACCACCGUGCCGCUCUUGGAGAUCGCCUUCGCCGUCCUGCUCCUCCCCUACCUUCUCCUGGCCACGCUGGCCUUCCCGCAAGCGACCUGGGAAGCCCAACCCGUCCUUGCCCGUCUUCCUCGGCCUCGCGCGCCUCCUCCUCGCCGCGCACACCAUGGGCGGGUUCCUCGUUGGUGCCGCGCUCCCGGCGCUCUACGUCCUCGACGGCCUCCGGUCCGGGGACACCACGGGGAUCGCCGCCGCAGCCCCGCACGUGUUCCUGCUCUCCGCGCAGGUCUUCAUCGAGGGGCUCACCGCCGUGGUCCCGUGGCGGUUCUCGCUCCCCGUCAGGGCCGCCGUACCAGUCAUGUACAACGCGCGCAGGAUGUUCGUGGCAGGGGAGUGGCUCCGGCAGGAGAUGGAGGGGGUGACUGCGGUGACGGGAACGGAAGGGGGCGGAGCGGCAGGAGGCUGGGCGGGUCGAGGAGUUCCCCUGCGGCGGCGGCGGCGUAGGAUACCUAGUGCGCAUCGGACGACGAUUCUGGCGGCUGCUAUUGGCUGAUGGCGAUCACCUUCACGGCUGAGAUGGACCACGCCGAGGAGUGGACUUGGCUGACGGGGACACGAUCUAGGAGGAGCAUGUAGAGGAGGGCUGGGGGAGAGGAGGAUAGAUCGUGUCGUGUGUGUUCUCUUUUUGCCCCAGCGUUCAUCCAGAUUGUGCGUUGUGGACUGGUGGAGGAGGAGCGACAGACAACAAUACUCAGUUAUUUGUUUCCUAAUUAAUGUGGUCGAGCAAUUUAAGGUAAGGUUAAUUAAUUUCGAUUUGAUCUUUAGAGAUUGAUCGUGAUUGAUUCUUUCACAUAAAGACAUUCCUCAAUAACUUGCGCUAGAAUGAAAAGUUUUAAUCCGUUCAGUUUUUUUGUUGUGUGUAAGGGUGACGCGAAACUAAACCGGUGGGGUGGGGGAGGUGACGAAAAAAAAUCAGCAAAAAAAACCGUGGAGACUAUUCACCAACUGGUCUUUAGGAGCGGCAGACAACAAUACUCAGUUAUUUGUUUCCUAAUUAAUGUGAUCGAGCAAUUUAAAUUAAGGUUAAUUAAUUUAGAUUUGGUCUUUAGAGAUUGAUCGUGAUUGAUUCUUUCACAUAAAGACAUUCCUCAAUAACUUGCGCCAGAAUGAAAAGUUCUGAUCCGUUCAGAUUUUUUUGUUGUGUGUGAGGUUGACGCGAAACUAAACCGAUGGGGUGGGGGAGGUGACGAAAAAAAUCAGCGAAAAAAACCGUGAAAACUAUUCACCAACUACUCCAUUAGAAAUAGAGAUCCACCCACCAUCUGCACCACCGUCCUCCAGGCUGCCACACCUAUAAAGACCUAUCAGACCUAUCUUGCACCCUGUGGUGGUUAUCGCGGCAAGGAUGCAGCCUUUUGAGACAGGAUCCUCCGAGAAGAUGAUUUUUUGAACGGAGAUCUUGUGAGGGGCUUGUCUAGCAAAGCAUGUACAUGUAAAGUCCCGAGAGAGCAGCACCCGGCCGCGGACGAAGAGGUUCACGACCACGAUCCGGGAGCCGGUGGCGGCGGCGACCCAGCCACCGUCGUGGGACCCCACGAUCUGGCCUGCACUUGGGGAACCCGGGCAGCGGGGAACGCAGGACCCUGCCGUCCUCCGGGCUGUACGCCCGCGUCAUCCGGUCGCGCCGGCCAUUGGCGGUCGACGGGAGCAACAGCGGGAUAGCCGGUAGCUUCGGGUGCCACAACGCGACGGCACGCCACGACGUGCAGACGGCGGCGAAGCGGGCGCGGUCGUACGCCGAGGCGCACCGGCGGAAGAUCGCCGCGAGGAGGUCCGCGGGGAGCCCUUCGGCGCCCGCCAUGCAUGGAUCUCGAUCGACUCUCGUAAGCGGGAUUGUGUUUCUUCUGGUCAAACCUGCCCUCAAAAGAGGGCGUGUUGGUUGUGUCUUCGGCACGGGAGUAUUAUACUUGAUUAGCUAGGAUCAUUUUUUUGCAAAUAAGAUUAUCUAGGAUCAUAACAGAACGCGCACAAAAAUGCUAGACCUACGGUCGUCCAUUUACGUAAUCAUUAGGAAACCUUCCUUCUUAAAACCCUACGUAAUUCCCGUACAAUGACGUACGUAAGUGUAGCAUUGCUCGAGCGCAGCACGGCACCUGACAAGACGUACGUACAUGUUCGUGUGUACUUACGAUUUGAGAAGUUCUAUCAUGCAUACCGUAUGUGGCACCAGGCACAAAUAAUUUUGUGGACUCAGGGUGGGCCAACGCUGGCAAAUCUGACUUGGCCCACGUCCGGACGCGUCCGAACCCCACCUCAGAUAUGAGCUGGGUAUGCUAUGUUUUCGGAGACCUCCUAAACAACACAUUUGCGCUAGGUUUUUUUAGGGGAUUUGCACUAGUAAGGGGAAGCCGCGCUAAUGGAUAAUGCACGGUUGGACCGGCCCAUUAAAAGCAACUCUUUAUCAAUCGGUCCCUUCACCGGCUCAGUGCCUCGCUCAAACCGGCUUGCAUAGGAUGAGAGUUUGAAUUUUUUAACCACUGACUGUUUGACCCACAACGGUUAACCGUUUGACCCAUUGAUCGCUGACUUCUCAAAGAAUUGGAAAAAAUCAUGAAUUUUAAAAAGUUCAUAAAUUUACAAAGAGUUCAUGAUUUUAAAAAGUUCAGAAUUUUGAAAAAGUUUUCCAAUUGUUAUAAAGUUCACAAGAUUUUUUUUCAUGAAUUUGUAAAAGUACACAUUUUUUAUAAAAAAAGUUAAUGAAUUUGAAAAAACUUUUGUGAAUUAGAGAAAGUUCAACAAUUUGAAUAAAUCCCCGAAUUUGGAAAGAAAAAUAUGAAUUUAAAAAAUAAUUUUUUAUGAAAAUUAAAACAAAACAGGAAGAAACAAAAUACAAAAGAACCGGCCACAAAAAAAACGAUAGAAGAACCGCACUACCGCUAUAGUCCUAAGUGAGCCAGCCCGUUCGGUUGGAGGGUGUGUGCGUUCUGCGUUCCAUGCGCUUAAGGCACCAAACGCCAAAUAAGAUUUGGGUAUUAUGGUCUGCACGUUUAGACAACGUUUAUCUACACUGUUAUUCACUUGAAUUCGUAGAUCAAAGGUUUACGGUUACAAACUCGCUUCGGGUGGGUCUAGUUUUUACAAAAUUUGGAACAUUGUAGGGGCGAACAACACUGUGUCUUUAACAAUGCAUACGAACCGCAUGUGAUCAUUAUUAACCGUAAUCUUUUAACAGUACAGGAAGCGUGACUCAACCAACACAACCACAAGAAGCGACCCCUACAGCGACUUCAACGACGACCAGAAAAGACUACUAAAAACAAAACCUAGAGACCUAGAGGAACAAGGACUCCAAGCACUUGGCUCCCGCUCUGAACUGUUGGUUGACAUCACAAGAAUGUGUCAGUUGAUCUACAUUUGUUACAAACACUCGGUUAUUUCUCUCCUUGCAAAUAGACCAAGCAAGACAUAUGCAACAGUUGAGCUUCUUCCUGUCCUCAGGUCUACUCCGCUUCUGGCGAAUGACCUCCACUCACAAAGGAAGGUGUUGAUGGUAGGAGUGACCGCGGCAAAUCCAGCCUAGGUCAACACCCUGUUCCAAAUGAUAUUAUAGAUGGAACAACCAACUAGAAGAUGAUCUGCAUCUUCUGAGCCACUCGAGCCAAGAACACAAUUGUCAAUAUGGGAGAUACCACGUUUGGCGAGUCCAUCAGCAGUCCAAAUCCCGUUUCUAACCGCAAGGCAGACAAACAACUUACAUCUUAGCGGAGCCCAUGUCGCCCAGAUGGCCCUUGAAACGCGGCGACCCCUCAAACCAGCCUGUGCCUGCGGAGCGAGAAAAGAAAUUACGAUUUUGCUUCCCUGAGAGACCGUGCCUCUUGGAAACGGAAAAAACACAUUUUUUUGCUUUCACGAGAGGCAUGAUUUUAUUUUCACGACUGACGCGGUUUUGUUUUCGCGAGAGGAAUGACCAUGCCUCUCGGAAACGAAAAAACAUGUUUUCAUUUUCUUUUUCCUUUUUUUUGGAACAUAGACGCUAGCAGCGUCCGGCUUUAACUUAAUAAAGCCACUAGGCAGAAUCCACACAUAAAGUCUUACAAGCCAAAUAAAGACAGUCAACGAGCACAUGGCUCAGGAUAUAGCUAAGAAGAUCGCAGCCACAAGUUCAAUAUCACAAAUGCGAAACAUCAAGGCCAAAGCUAGCAAAACGAGGAGGUCUCAUGGUGCAACCAUCAUCCCUUGCCGCGCCUUCACCAUGGUUGUCUUGAUCAGCUCCAUAGUCUCUUUCAUGCGCUCGAUGUCACGCUUCUUCCCCAGCGGUGCCCAUACCUGAAGGAAAAUAUGACAUUUGAAGAUAAUAUCAGCGGGGUGGGCCGGGAACUUGUGUUCAAUCGUAAUUUUGUUUCGAACCGUCCAGAGGGACCAAAGUAGCGCCCCAACGCCUCUCCAAACAAUCCUAGCAUUGGCCCCUCUUUGCGACGUUAAGAUAGACAGCAUGUCGUGACUAGACUGUGGAUUCCAAUUUUGAUUGAAGGCGUCUCGCACCGCACUCCACGCAAAUCUAGCGAGCACACAGCCAAAGAACACAUGGUUCACGUUUUCCCCUAAGCCGCAGGUGGUGCACUUGCCGUCCGCCGGCCCAUUUCGUUUGGCAACGUUAUCCGACGUAGGUAAGCGGUUGCGAAACAUUUGCCAUAGGAAAAUCUUGAUUUUGAGGGGAAUGUCAGCCUUCCAUAGCCCCCUAGCUAUAUCUAGCGUAGUACCCUCGGAUAGCUUGUCAUAUAGGGACUUGACCGUAAAUCUAUUUGAAGCGGUCAACUUCCACGAGAUCGUGUCCGCCCCAUUACUACGGGUCAGCCCUCCCAAGUUAGCCGACAAAGCGUCCCAGCUAGCGGCCUCCAUAGUCUCUAGAUUCCUAAUGAAAGAGAUGGCUGGAGGUUGGACGCGCAAAGCAUCGGCCACCAUAAUGUUGGUGUCCGUUGCCAAUUGGUACAGUUCCGGAUGUGAUUGCCAUAACGGCCCCUGACCCCACCAAUGGUCGAGCCAGAAACGUGUGGACUUGCCAUCGUUUACCCGGAACUGUGCACCCACUAUAAACGCCGGUCGUAUCGCUUGGAUCCCGUUCCAAAAGGCCGAGCCGUUGAUUUUAGCCUUGAACAAAUUCCCCUCCGGGAAAUAUUUAGCUCGGAGGAUGUCUGCCCAGAGCCCCGACUCGUUUUGGGCGAGACGCCACCACCACUUAGUUAGCAGGGCCACGUUCAUGAGUUUAGAGUUCGUAAUACCUAGGCCGCCAAAUUUUUUUGGCCUACACACCGCUGCCCAUUUCACUAAGUGGUACUUGCGCUUGGUCCCAGCUCCUUCCCAAAAGAACCGGGAACGUGGAGUAUCGAGUCUUGCGUGAACCCCAUCCGCCAGUAGGAACAUCCCCAUUGUGAAUAUAGGAAGGGAAGAUAAGCUCGAGUUGGUUAGGAUGAGCCUCGCCGCCGAGGACAUAAACCUACCCCUCCAAGGGCUCACUCUGUUAGCGACUUUCCCAUACAGCGGUUCCCAUUCCGCUAUGGUAAGUUUCUUGGUCGAGAUUGGGAGGCCCAAGUAUUUAAUCGGAAAGCUCCCUAGCUUGCAAUUAAGUAGAUUCGCAAUCCGCGUGCUAGCUAGAUCAUCCAUCCCAAUGGUGAUCACUUCGCUCUUCAGAAAGUUGAUCUUAAGCCCUGAUAAAAUCUCGAACGCAAGUAGAAGUAGCUUGGUGGUAGCUAUGUUGUGGUCGUCGGGUUCGAAUAAGAGCAUCGUAUCGUCUGCGUAUUGCAAAUGCGUGACCCCACCCGGAAUAAGGUGAGCUACGAGCCCUUUAAUGUGCCCCGCUACCCUAGCUUUAUUAAUCAUGGCCGCCAGGGCAUCCGCAACAAAGUUAAAGAUGAGCGGGGAGCUUGGGUCUCCCUGACGGAGACCACGCUUGUUACGAAAGAACUUGCCCAUUAUGCCAUUGAUAUUGACCGCCGUGUGCCCACUACACACGAGGUGCAUGAUGCGAUGUACGAAUCCUGCCUCAAAACCCUUUUUGAGGAGGACUUCUCGCACGAACUCCCAGUUGACGCGAUCGUACGCUUUCUCGAAGUCUAAUUUGAGCAGCACUCCCUGUGCCUUGGUCCGUUUCAACUCGUGAACGAUCUCUUGUAACGCAAUUGGUCCCUCGAGGAUGUUGCGGUGUUUGAGGAAACCCGUUUGACUAGAGCUAAUCACUCGUUGAGCGACCGGAGCCAAGCGCGAGGCAUAAGCUUUCGCACAAAUUUUGAAUGGAACGUUGAUCAAGGUAAUGGGUCUAAAGAGCUUAAUGUUAUCCGCCCCUUUCACCUUAGGAAUAAGGCUAAUGGCUCCAUAGUUCAACCGGGAUAGGUCCACCGUGCCUAAAGCGAAGCCGCUGACAAUAUCGUAAAACAAGUGCUUAAGGCAGGGCCAAAACUUCUUAAAGAACUCUACCGGCCAACCGUCCGGCCCAGGCACCGUGCUCGUUUUCAUGCCGUGUAAGGCCUGGUCUAUUUCCUCAGGAAGGAAAGCAAGGGCUAACCUAUCGUUCUCUUCCUACGACACACGCUCCGCGGUAUCCCACAGAUCACCGCGCAAGCGUAAAGGUUUUUCAACGGCCGUCCCCAAAAGGCCUAUGAAAAACUCGUAGAUAUGAGCCACGAUCUGGUCCUGCGCCAACAGGACACCUUGGUCUGAUUGGAGACGCAGAAUGGUGCAUUUCCUUUUCCGCCCGUUCGCGUAGGCAUGGAAAUAUCCUGUGUUUGCGUCUCCUUUCGUGACCCAUUUGACUCCGCCCCUGCGUCGCCAAUAUUCCUCUUCUGCGCGCAAAAUCGCCGUUACUUGAUUUUCUAAUGCGUACCUAUGUGCCCACUCGGCCUCCGAGAAGGGCCGGCGAUCUGCCUCCAUAUCUAUCAGCGCAAUAGUCUCAACUAUGCGCGCGCGCUCUUUCUUGGACUCGCUAUCAUGGUUAGCGCCCCACCCUCGCAGGAAGGCACGCAGCUUGCCAGCAGCCGCGACCCAGCUCUCUGCUGGACCGCGUUGGGGCCCCAGAUGAGAACAAAUCGCACCCCAACGCUCUACCACCAUCUGGGCAAAUCCCUCUACUUCGAACCAAGCCGUUUCGAAGUAGAACCUAGGGCUACGGCGGAUGAGAUCCUCCCCUGAGGAAAAUAUCAGCGGAACGUGGUCUGAUCCAAUGCGCGUCUCUGCCACGAGGGAGCACAUGGGGAACAACACCUCCCACUCCGGCGUAAAAAAGACCCUAUCCAGCACGCUAUGGACCGGCUGCGUUUGUUUGUUAGUCCAGGUAUAUCUGGCACCAGUCUGUGCUGCUUCCCGCAAUGCUGCUGCCUCAAUGGCAUUAUUGAAUAAGGACACCCUCGUCCAGUCAAUAUUAGCAUUAUUCUUAUCCGCCCCCGAGCGAAUUAAGUUAAAAUCUCCCCCUACCACCAUAGGGAGGUUGAUUGCCCUUUUGGCCCCAACCAGGUUGAUCAGUUCUAGCAGGAACGCUGGCGAUCUGGAGUGGUCGGCAGGCCCAUAGACACAAACGACCACCCACGACAAACCAGAUACACGAUGUUUAAUAGUAGCAGAUAAAAGGAAAACACCAACAUCCCAAUGCAGAACAUCACAUACAUCCUUAUUACAACCCAACAGAAUGCCACCAGAGUGACCGACAGAGGGAACCCAAUGCCAAUCAAAACGUUGUAGAGGGUCAUAAGCAAGCAAUUCUCUGAAGGUAAAAUCAGUUUUAAUCGUCUCUUGUAGCGCUACCACGUCAAUAUGUUCUUUGGCCAUGUAUUCUCUAAGCUGCGUGCGCCGACCACCGUGGCCACAGCCACGGAUAUUCCAGAACAUGUACCUCAUCUAAAUCACCCUGUUACGUAGGCACACACCCCGAGAGGUCACCGCCUUUGCCACUCUCUUCCUAGCCGUCGCUCGGCCAUUAGAAGGAAGGACACCAGCUUCCCUAGCUAGUGUCACCUCGUCGGGCACUCUCUCGUCACCAGCCUCUACUGGCACAAUGGCUAACUCGUUGUUGCUAGCGCAGCGCAUGGCGGCGGCCACCAGCGCAGCCUGCGCCUCUUCCCUAGCAUGCACAAGUGAUAUAAUUUCGGACUGAGACCCUCGGGUCUCCACCCCGCAGUCAUCUAGAAUGCUCACCAGGUGCUCAUCCGAGAAGGCAUUUAGAAUGCGGAAAGAUGGCAAGGGAUUACCUGCGGCGUCCAUGUUCUUGUCGGCGAUGCGGAGUUUGGCGCUCUCCAAGGAAGAGAGAUCGCCGAGCUUGGCCUUGGCUCGAACGCUAGGAGCGCGCUGCACCACCGGGAUUGCCUUGGUGCGCCUGGCCUUGUUGUUAGUUCCCGUCGUCCCUAGCGCUGCCCCCAGCUCACCACCAAGGUCAGAAUUCUCCACCUCCGUCACCACCAUCGCCUGCUUGUUAGCCAGUUUCCUCCCCGCCGUUUUCUUAGGUUGCCUGCCCCCGCUGUUGGAACCCCGACGCGGAGCAGGCGUAAGGUCAGCAGCCUCGAUCACCACGCAACCAGAGUCUGCCCCCACGGCCACUGGAGAGGAAGAGGCUGGAAGAGAGGUAGCAGAGGAGACCCCGCCCGCGCCAGUCAGAGUCGCCGCCACCUGGGUCAGGGCAAGGUUGGUCCCGUACUCGUUGAAGGAAAGCUCCAGCGACCUGGCUAGCGGAGGCCCGCUCACCGCGGUGUCCUGAGUCGCCACCCCCCAUGGCACCAAUCUCAGCCGACAGCGCACCCAGCUUGUCCCAAGUUUCCGUGUCGAUGGAUGUGUCCUGGAUGCUGUCGUCUUGAUCCUCUCCCCUGUCUUGCAUCUUGGUAUCCUGGUUCUCCGCACCACGAGGGCCGCCCUCGCACCCUUGCGGCUCCAUGCCUGGUUCAACCCUGCCAUGUUUUUCAUUGCCCAGCGUCCGAGCGCCCGGAUUCACGUCCUUGGCAGGAGGGUUGGCAGGGCCGGCUCCCAGCACGGCCCGCUCACCACCCCUUUUGGGCAGGGUCUCGCGCUCCACCUUGAUUUGGUAUCCCUCGUGGUUGAACCACACCUCGACGACACCAUUCAGCUUCUCCGGAGCUUUGCAAGCAAGCUUCAUCCGAACAGGCCCCAACCUGAUCAGAGAUAGUUCAUCGACCACAAUUGGCCGGACCAGCAUCCGGAACCCCUCCCUGAUGCGGUCUUCACGCCUAUGCUUCUUUGGGAUGCCAUGGAGCCGCACCCAAGUCUCCGGCAUCACCAUGGGCUGGACCUCCUCGUGUAGCAUGUCGCGCACACGCGCAGUGAUGUCAUUGAUGGACAAAAACAACUUACCACUAGACUUCGCCAUGUGUAACAGAUCUGCAGAAGGAAAGACCACCACGAAGUCGUCAUCACCCACUUGUGUUACCUGCCAAUCCCAGUCUCCUGUCACCAUGUGCUUCAGUUCUUGUUUGAGGAUCCGAAGAUUAAGCUUCCCCGGCUCCGCAGAUAGGAUGGCCGCGUUCUUGAUGCGAGCAUCGAUGGGGGCUUCGGUCUCGUCCGCGUCCUCGAACUCUAGGCAGAAAAAUCCUUCCCCAGAUAUGGCACUUCCCAUGAUUUGAAGGUGAAGCUGCCGGCCCCUCGUCGGACAGUGAGCGGAUGCGUGCCCUUCUUCCUUGCAGAGCACACAAAGGGGCAAGAACUUACACUGGGAUUGGAAGUGGCCGGGGCGCCCGCACUUGAAGCACUCCACGUCCGGUGCCACCUCCACUGGGAUGGGUUCCUCCGCCGUACCCUUAGGUGCAGAGGGCAGCGCCACCGCCAGUGGAUCUGCACGCGGCUUCUUGGCCAUUGGGUCCCCAUGGCCCCCACCACAGUUGGGAUGCGCCUCAUGCUUCCUCUCAAGCUCUCGUCGCCGCUGCUGAACCUUCCUUUUCUUCUUGCGCUCCUGCUGCUGGAUCCACCACGGGGGAGGAGGACCCCAAUCCCCCUCACGCCCGCCAUGGUCACGAGAUCCGCCACGUUCUUCUCUGGCCUCGCGGCCACCCGAACGCUCGCGCAUCACGCGCUUCGCCUUGUCGCGCAGUUCCCGCUCCCUACGCCAUUCCGCCUCCGGAUCUGACACCUCCAUCGGCCGCUUGUUCGCACGCCUAUCCCCCAUCACCACCGCCGCGAAAGAUUGGAGAAGGGGGGAGGAGGGGGGCAGAUCUGGGUCGUGCGGGCGGAGUGAGCGAGGCGCCGCACCUCGCGAGUGGUGGCUGGAAACCCUAAACGGGGAUCCAGGCAACCCCUCCUCACCCACUUAUAGCCAGUGGUCGGGCCAGUGCUGGGCCGAGACGCGUUGGGCCGUUGGGGCACUUGAGGCCGCGGGUCCGAGGCCGUCUCCAGGCCCAGUCCCACUGGAAGGUCAGAAAACGCCCCAGCCUGUCCCCCCAGCCCAGGCCCAGAACCCACAGCCAGCCCCACACCCGACGUCAGCCCAGGGAGGGCCCCCACCAUCGGCCCAACCCUAGGGCUUGGUGCCGAGCGCAUCGUCUCCGGACCGCACGGCGCCACCGCCGCCUCCGCCGCCGCCGCCACAGGGGGCGCCGGCAGGCACGGCCAGUCCUCCCUGGACAACUCCGUCUGCGCCACCAUCAGGCUCGCCGUCGCCUUGGCUCGAAUACACGUCACCGCCCCCGACGAACCGCCAUCACCCGAGCCCGAGCUGCACGCCCGCGACGACAGCCAGAUGCGUGAGGCCAUGGAUCUGGAGCCACGGCCGCCCGGCGCGAAGCAUCUCCCACGCCCCGAGCUCGAAGCCACACCGCUCUGCUUUGCCGCAAAGGCCAAGAAAUCUCCAAUCGACGGCCCUGCAGGCACCGCGCACAGGCCCCGCUCCGGAUCCAGCUCCCCGCCAUCGUCCUCCUCCUCCGAGUCCUCCUCCGCCAGCGCCCAGAAGCGGUUGUGGCGACCGCCGUCCCCCGCUGCAGGUGAGCCGGCGCGGCCCUCCCCGCCGCUCACCUGUAGUUCGCUCGCGCUGCGCCGGACCACAGACCAGCCCGCCGUCCCCUCCGCGGAUGGCUGCCACACCGCAGCAGGCGCGUCGCCCAUGCUGCCGCCUCUCUCUCGCUCCCCACCCACGUUCGUCGCCUCUCUUUUUCCUUUCAUGAGAGGCAUGGUUUUGAUUCCGCAAGAGGCACGGAUUUUCUUUCGCGAGAGGCACGGCCGUGCCUCUCGGAAACAGCUUUCGGAGAGGAAAAAAAAGUGCUCCUUGGUGUGGUUUUUCGUCCCUCUUUUUGUGAAAAAAGUUCAUCAAAACCUAUCGACAUGGUAUCUUGUUUUGAAAAUCUUGACGCGAGAAAUUCAACGGUGAAAAUGGUUCGGGAUUUAAAUAUUUUAUCAACAUGGGGAGGUGAAAGUGAUCUUUGAAAGGAGUACUCCGCAAUUAAAGAUUGACUCAUGGGGAUUCGCUCCCAGGUCAUUUAGAUUGUGCAUGGAGCCGCAAGUCACUGCGUCAUUGUUGACUCCGUGUUUGCAUAGGAGGUGCACAUUACUUGAGGAAAAGACAGGAGUUUUUUAUCUCUUCUUUUUUUCUUCUUUUUUGGUUUCUCUGGUUCUUUGUUCGGUUUUCUUAUUUCUUCUCCGGUUUGUUUCGUCAUUAUACUUCAUUUUUUCUUUUGGUUUCUCUUCAUCUUUUUUCACAGUUUUAGCGUUUUUCUUUUCUUUCUCACUUUCCUUCUUUUAUUCUUCUAUGUUUUUGUUUUUAUUCAUUAUUGAUUUGUUUCUUUGAUUUUAUUUUUCAUUUUCUUUUUUCUUUUAGUUUAUUUUGUUUCCUUUUCGGGUUUCAUUUAUUUGGUUUUCCUAGUUUCUUUUGGUUUUCACUCUAUACUUUUUAUAUGUCAACAACAUUUUUCUAAUACACAUUAAAAUUUUCCAAAUACAAACUGUUUUUUUAUAUAUAAUCAAUAUUUUUCUAUACACAUUUUAAACAGUUUUCAAAUGCUUUAUUACAUUUUUCAAAUACAAUAUGAACAUUUUUUGUAUACAUGGUCAACAUUUUUCCUAUACGCACUUUAAACUUUUUCCAAACACAAGAUUGACAUUUUUCUAAUACAUCGUCACCUUUUUUGUAUGAACAUUUAACAUUUUUAAGUGCUUUAUCAACAUUUUUCAAAUGCAAGAUUACAUUUUUAAUGCAUGGUCUAAAUUUUUUAUAUUACACAUUUAAUAUUUUUCAAAUGCUUGAUAACAUUUUUGAAAUACUUGUUCAAAAUUUUUGAAAUGCUUGAUUAUUAUUUUCAUAUACAUGAUCAAAAGAUUUUAUAUUUUUUAAUACCUGGUCAACAUUUUUUCUAUACACAUUUAACAUUUUUCAAACACUUGAUUAACAUUUUCAAAUACUUGUGUAACAUAUUUUAAAUACACGAUCAAUUUUUUUCACACUCAUUGUAUAUUUUUUGUAUACAAGGUUUUUCCCUAUACACAUUUAACAAUUUUAACAUUGCGAAAAAUAUAUUUUGUAAUAUAUAUGUUUACAAUUUUUGGAAGUGUAAAUAAAAGUAAAAAACAGAAAAAAAAGAAAAAAAAGGUAACAAACAAAAAAAAACA